rnacentral:rRNA from 1 species
AAAACGACUCUUGGCAACGGAUAUCUAGGCUCUCGCAUCGAUGAAGAACGUAGCGAAAUGCGAUACUUGGUGUGAAUUGCAGAAUCCCGCGAAUCAUCGAGUUUUUGAACGCAAGUUGCGCCCGAAGCCUUUCAGCCGAAGGCACGUCUGCCUGGGUGUCACGC